GAGCGUAUAGCUCAGUGGUAGAGUGCAUGCUUAGCAGGCAUGAGGUCAUGGGUUCAAUCCGGUACCUCCA
rnacentral:tRNA from 1 species